rnacentral:rRNA from 1 species
AAACCAACAGGGAUUGCCCUAGUAACGGCGAGUGAAGCGGCAACAGCUCAAAUUUGAAAUCUGGCCUUCGGGUCCGAGUUGUAAUUUGUAGAGGAUGCUUUUGGCGCGGUGCCUUCCGAGUUCCCUGGAAUGGGACGCCUUAGAGGGUGAGAGCCCCGUACGGUUGGACACUAAGCCUCUGUAAAGCUCCUUCGACGAGUCGAGUAGUUUGGGAAUGCUGCUCUAAAUGGGAGGUAAAUUUCUUCUAAAGCUAAAUAUUGGCCAGAGACCGAUAGCGCACAAGUAGAGUGAUCGAAAGAUGAAAAGCACUUUGAAAAGAGGGUUAAAUAGCACGUGAAAUUGUUGAAAGGGAAGCGUUUGCGACCAGACCUUUUCCUGGCGGAUCACCCGGUGUUCUCACCGGUGCACUUUGCCAGGUUGAGGCCAGCAUCGGUUUUCGUACGGGGGAGAAAAGCCUGGGGAACGUAGCUCUCUCGAGAGUGUUAUAGCCCCUCGCAUAAUACCCUUACGGGGACCGAGGACCGCGCCUUCGGGCAAGGAUGCUGGCGUAAUGGUCGUCAACGAC